UACGAAGGGGGCUAGCGUUGCUCGGAAUCACUGGGCGUAAAGGGUGCGUAGGCGGGUCUUUAAGUCAGGGGUGAAAUCCUGGAGCUCAACUCCAGAACUGCCUUUGAUACUGACGAGUCUUGAGUUCGGGAGAGGUGAGUGGAACUGCGAGUGUAGAGGUGAAAUUCGUAGAUAUUCGCAAGAACACCAGUGGCGAAGGCGGCUCACUGGCCCGGUACUGACGCUGAGGUGCGAAAGCGUGGGGAGCAAACAGG
rnacentral:rRNA from 1 species